rnacentral:lncRNA from 1 species
ACACACACACACACACACACACACACACACACACACACACACACACAUACACAUACACACACUCGCACGCACGCAAACGCACACACCUGCAGUCCGUCAUAAAUGAUCAUCCUUAUUUUUGAACAAUAUUGCUCAUCUCAUAAGAUUUAGGAUUCCCAUGCAAGCUCAGACUGUGUAGAACGAGGCUGCUUUGCAUGCUGUGACCGCAUGCCCUUCAAGCGCAUCCUUUUUAGGAAUCUAAGGAUUGGCUCAUUACUUUGCCUAUUCUUUUUAUUCCGUACAGGUGAUGGGAGGAGGAAGCAUGGGAACGAUGCCCCAUAGGGGCCACYCACGCCUAAGGGCAAGCAUGGCUCGCUGGCCCUAAGGCAAAGUGUUGUCCUGUACCACGUAGUUAGGAGUUGCAACGCACACG